rnacentral:rRNA from 1 species
GAUGAACGCUGGCGGCGUGCCUAAUACAUGCAAGUCGAGCGAACAGACGAGGAGCUUGCUCCUCUGACGUUAGCGGCGGACGGGUGAGUAACACGUGGAUAACCUACCUAUAAGACUGGGAUAACUUCGGGAAACCGGAGCUAAUACCGGAUAACAUGUUGAACCGCAUGGUUCAACAGUGAAAGACGGUCUUGCUGUCGCUUAUAGAUGGAUCCGCGCCGCAUUAGCUAGUUGGUAAGGUAACGGCUUACCAAGGCAACGAUGCGUAGCCGACCUGAGAGGGUGAUCGGCCACACUGGAACUGAGACACGGUCCAGACUCCUACGGGAGGCAGCAGUAGGGAAUCUUCCGCAAUGGGCGAAAGCCUGACGGAGCAACGCCGCGUGAGUGAAGAAGGUCUUCGGAUCGUAAAACUCUGUUAUUAGUGAAGAACAAAUGUGUAAGUAACUAUGCACGUCUUGACGGUACCUAAUCAGAAAGCCACGGCUAACUACGUG